rnacentral:lncRNA from 1 species
CGUUCAUUGAAGGAAUGCGAACUAGCAGUAAUUAUUAUUAACUAUGGGAAAAAAUUGUUGGAUUCCUCACAAAGAACCUCACCUGGCCAGUCAGGAGCUACAGGAAGUGAAGAAACACAUAAAAUUAAGAAGAUUUCUGCAAAGACAUCCCAUUUAGCUGCAAUGGAAAAAGCAACAGAAAAUCUAAAUGCUCUUGAAUCGAAUCUCCUAAGACUGACACAACCAGCUCGUGGAUCAGAGCUUGCAGGACAGGAAGAUCCUUUGUUCCUCUACCCUAUAAUUUCAUGCUGGACAUCCA